CCAGGUCAGGAGUUGCUAGAACUGGUCUUGCCUUUGAUAAACACAGCAAAAUAGUAUUAUUUUAGGAUUAGGACCAUAUCUGGUGUAAAAGUUAGUGGAUUUGGAGCUCUGUUUGUUAAAUGUCUCUCCUUUUUUUUUUUUUUUUUUUUGGUAUUCCUUUAAGAUCAGCAUUGGCAUCUUCCCACUAAUAACCUGGGGUAUAGUCAACUUAUUCUUUCUUUCUGGACGUUAAUUCAGCAGACCCUGAAUAGUACAAGCAGACCCUGAGACUGAAUCCUAUAAUCUGGAACAAAG
rnacentral:lncRNA from 10 species